rnacentral:rRNA from 1 species
GACGAACCGUGCGAACGUUGUUCGGAUUCACUGGGCUUAAAGGGCGCGUAGGCGGGCGGUCAAGUCAGGGGUGAAAUCUUUCAGCUCAACUGGAAAAGGGCCUUUGAUACGGAUCGCCUCGAGGGAGGUAGGGGCAUGUGGAACUUCCGGUGGAGCGGUGAAAUGCGUAGAUAUCGGAAGGAACGCCGGUGGCGAAAGCGA